rnacentral:lncRNA from 1 species
GUUACAUUGGAUGGAUUUUUGGAUAAAAAAAAAACUGUUAUAAAGGUGAAAAAUUUGACCGGAGCUGGUGGCAGCAAUCUCCUCAUAAGCUCUGUAUCCCGGCUGAGACCGAUCCCCACAGUCCCCCGUCAGCACAAACACAACCUGGAUUCAAACGGGACGUUUAUGAGUUACAGAGGAUCCAUUAGUGAGCAAGUGACAUACUGCUAA